ACUGGGUUUUUGGGAAGUACUUUGUUCACUUAUAAUUUUCUGUAAUAAUUUUGACAUGUCAUGUAAUUCUGUCUUUGGACUUAGUGUUACUAUCUCAAUGGGGUUUUGUGAUGGAGGUAUCAUUUUUGUGAAAGGUUUUUUAAUAGGUUUUAUAGCUGGAUCUAUAUCAUAUGGUUUUGGAUUACUAUAUCUCUGAGAUAAAUAUAUAGUAUUUGGUUUAGGCGUUAUAGGAGAAGGUGCUUGUGGUGUUUCUAUAUGUUCUAUAUUUGUUAUUCCUUCAUGAUUUCUAUCUAUUUUUUCUUCCAUUCUAUCUAAUUGUUGUCCUAUUAUAUGUAAUG
rnacentral:lncRNA from 1 species